AGUAUAAGAAACUUCCCCAAACAUUACAGACCCAUAAAUUUAUCAUAAAGGACACACCAACUUCAAUCAUCAUCAUCAUCCACACCAUCCUCCUCCUCAUCUCUAUCGACCGAAUAAGGCUCAACAUUGGGACUUAAAAUCGGCGAGGGAUCUUGAGCCUGUGCUUGCCUAAAUUGAGCGAGCUGCUCCUCAUAAGAUCUUUGGCGGUUGAGCAAAUCUUGCACAACAGCCGCUUGAGUCGCCAUCUACUGCGCGAAUUGCUCUUGUGCCAAUCUAUGAAUAAGCUCCCGCAUCUCUGGCGUCAGCUCAGGCUGCCGAGAGGAUCCUUCACCAUGAUUGAGCGUAAAUGUGAGCGUUGAUGCAACACUACCCGCCAGAUAGUUAGCGGCCAAGUUACCAAGACCAUAGAGCUUUCCCUUUCUUCUUGUCGCCAACAACUUUUUUCCAAGUGCGGAAGGUCAAAGAGUGAUCAACAGUUGACCCUUCAGAAAUAGCCUCAGCAAGCACCCGGUCAUACUCCUCCUC
rnacentral:lncRNA from 1 species